rnacentral:rRNA from 1 species
UACAGAGGUCUCAAGCGUUGUUCGGAUUCAUUGGGCGUAAAGGGUGCGUAGGUGGCGCUGUAAGUCGGGUGUGAAAUUUCGGAGCUUAACUCCGAAACUGCAUUCGAUACUGCGGUGCUUGAGGACUGGAGAGGAGACUGGAAUUCAUGGUGUAGCAGUGAAAUGCGUAGAGAUCAUGAGGAGGACCAGUGGCGAAGGCGGGUCUCUGGACAGUUCCUGACACUGAGGCACGAAGGCCAGGGGAGCAAAACGGGG